CCCAGGGGAUGCUGAUGCUGGGACCAUGGGGACCUGUUGACCACACUUUGAGAGCUGCUGAUUUACAUGACGACCUGGAGCGUGAAGUUAUGACGUGCGUUGGGGAAACUGAGCUCUCCGUCUGGAGAGAGAAGCAGACUCACCAUCAGCUUCUAAGACGAUCUCCCGAAUGAGUGGGUGACGUGAGGAACCUCGACUCUCGGAGGCCCCGUCCUCGCAGGCACAGACCCUGAGACCCUGGGUUCUCGCCCCCGGUGACCUAUCUCAGGCAAAAUAUUGAUCAUGCUGGAACUGUCACAUCAGCUCUGGGACAAAAGCUUUGCCUCCAUAACGGGUUGAACUGGUGCCACGACCUCCAUCGAGGAAACCAGCCAACACACCAUUUGGGGAUUCGAGAAUGCUGAAGUGUUCAGCGGUACAGCCUUCUUUCACAACAGCCAAAAAGUGGAAACAACCCACAUGUCCAUUGACGGAUGGAUGGAUAAACAAAAUGUGGUCCAUGCCUGCAGUGGAAUAUGAUUCAGCCGUAAAAAGGGCUGAAGCCCUGACACGUGCUACAAUACGGAUGAACCUUGAAAACAUCGUGUCCUGUGAAAGAAGGCAGACCCAAAAGGACAGAAACUGUAUGAUUCUAUUUACAUAAAAUACCCCAAAUAUGUAAAUUCAUAGAGACAGAAAGUAGAUUAGAGGUUGCCGAGGGCUGGGGGAGGGCAAAAUGGGGAGUUAUUGCUUAAUGGGGACAGAGUUUCUGUUUGCGAUGAUGACAAAAAGAAAUAGACGGUGGUGAUGGUUACACGACAGGUGGAUGUGUGAAUGCCAUUGAACUGCACACCUAGAAAGGAUUUACAAGGUAAAUGUUAUGUCAUGUGUAUUUUAUGACAAUUUUUUUAAAUGGGAAGAAAAGUGGCCUUUCUGCUCUUGGUGUAUGGAACUCCCCUCUCCACACUGGGGACGGCCCUCAAGGAAGCUGGGUGGACAGUGUGUAGUUGUGACGGACAUUCUAUCAGCCCUCCACCCCCCCAACCCCUGCCCCAGGCACCCCUUUGAUGGGCAUCUGCAUGGGAAGGACCCCUUCCCCCUUCCUCCCUCCCUCCCUCCUUCACGCUCUACUUUCUCACUUCUGUCCCUCCCCUUCUAAUGUUUUUCUUCCCAAUAUUCAGUUGAGAAAAUGUAACAUCUACCCAAGUGGUGCCCGUCCUCACACACAGAGUGAUGCUUUAUCGAGCCCUCCCUGUGUGGCUGCUGCUCACUGGGCACAGUGAACACAUUUAGCCUCCCAGCAGCCCUCAUGGUAGGUACCGUCAUUGCUCCCAUUUCACAGAUGAGAACACUGAGGCUCAGAGUCAGCCAGGAAGUGGAGGCGCUGGCACGUGAACCUUGCUGUCAGGCUGCUGUGCCUUCUCCUGAUCCCUGUCCCUUUCUGGUCCCUACAUUAGUGGGUAUAGAUUCACCACAGACCUAUGGAGACCAAGUGAGAGCACGCUGUUCAUGGCGUGCUUUUCCCACUAGGCUCUGAACAGAGGCAGCCUUUUCUGAUCUCCCUUCACUUCAUUUCCUCCCGGGAAUGUCUGAAGGCACUGAAGGAGAGCAGAACCCCUUUCCUCUACCCCUCGAGUGUAAACAUUUCAGCACCAUGCUGCCAGAGGAGGAAAAAAAAAAUCCCCACCUCCUGUUAAAAAACCAGAAAACCAGGCUGUGGAGAAUCAAAGGGAGCUUUGUACCGGGAGCCACCGUGGAGAGGGGAGAUGGGGGCCCUUCCAGGGCCAACCUCACCCUACCCCCGCCCCCGUAAGACUGGAAUCACAGCCUGAUGGCUCAGGAGAACAGGCAGGACCAAAGCCGGGAUCAACUGUGGAUCCAGCUCUGAGCACUGAGAUGGGUCUCUCCUCGCAGGCAGGGCUGAGGUUGCCAGCUAGGGCAGGGGGCUUGGGUUCUGCUACAAGGGGUCGAACUUGCUUAACUGGGGCCCCCAGAACAGUGAGUCUCCCCUUAAUUCUGUGGUGACAGCUCCCCUCACCCCACCCCAUCCCCUGCCUGCUUCUUUAUCUCAGGCGGCUUGAAAACAAAACAAUUUUCAUGUUAAGAACUAGAGGCCUGUGAAACUUUGGUGGCGGAGGGAAAGUGGGCACAUUUAGUCAAACCUAUAGGAAGGGGCUUCGGGGCUUUCAAGAGGCUGGAAAUCACCAUUGACUCUUCUGUCCCCCUAACCACCUUCAUGGAGGUCUCUUCACAGUAUAGACAGAGAAGGGUGUGGUGGGCUGGGCUCUGGGUAAUUCUGUAGGCACCGUGCUCACGACUCUGGGAAUUUAACACCAGGCACAUAAGGCGCUCUCAUUAUGAACGUUCCCCGAAGAUUCGAAUGAAGUAGGGGACACAGGACACCACCAAGUCAUGCUCAGCUCCCAGGGGACUGAUCACAAGCUAGCAUCGUGCUUCAAAGAUGACCGUACACGCCGUGUGAGUGCCCACCAAGUGCCAGGCACUUACAAUUAUUAGAAGUCGAUUCAUCCCCACUACAGACCAAGGAGGCAGGCACUGUGAGCGCCCAUUUUACAGAUGAGGAAACUGAGGCACAGAAAGGUUAAGUAACUUGCCCAAGGACACACAGAUAGUAAGCCGUAGAUAUGAGAUUCAAAACCAGGCAGUCUGGGAGCCCGUGCACGAAAAUCCUGCAUUACACAUGUGCCCAAAAUAUUGAUGCUUUCAGCCAGAGGAAAGCAUGGAGAAGCACACGCCCCUGGGCAGACAGACAGACAUGCAAGCACACACACUAAUAAAAGAUUCCU